rnacentral:tRNA from 1 species
GGCAUUGGCGCAGUUGGGAGCGCGUUUGACUGGCAGUCAAGAGGUCAUGGGUUCGAAUCCCAUAUGCUCC